UACUCCAUCCUCUUUAAUUUUGCAAGAUCGUUCUCUCAUUUCAUCCGGAGUUCAUCUCAUCUGUCCCAAGUCGUCUUUGUUUUUCCACGCCCUCCCGCCCUUUUUCUUUGAUGAUUGGAUUUCAUCCAAGCGUAUUCAUUUCAUUGUGCUUCACCUAUCUUUUCUUCCGUGUCCUAUCCGGUGAUUCAUUGUGAAGAUUCUCACGAGUCGAGUUCAUCAUUUCUUCAUUUUGUUCUUUUUCGGUGAAUUUAAUUCAGAUAUCCGUGU
rnacentral:lncRNA from 1 species